rnacentral:tRNA from 2 species
GCCGCUGUGGCUUAGCCCGGUAAAGCGACUGACUCGUAAUCAGUAGAUCGAGGGUUCAAAUCCCUCCAGCGGCU